GCAAGUUCUGGAAAUAUUCAAAUUUUACAGUGAGCUACAUACAUAGAUAUAUUUAGCAAGUUCUGAAAAUAUUCGAAUAUUGCAGUGAGCUACAGUCUACACACAUAGAUAUAUUUAGCAAGUUCUGAAAAUCUUCAAAUAUUACAGUGAGCAUAGAUAUAUUUAGCAAAAUAUGAAAAGUCGGAUCAAAUUUCAAUAUUGGGUCCAAGAUUGACCUUAGAUUCAAGCUCACUAACUCACAUGUGAAUUCUAGAACUAGAUUUAUACCAUUUGUUUAAAACUUUACUUUUUAGGAAUGAAUUGGCAUGAAAAACACGCAUUCAGUGAUUUAAAAUUGUAAACAAGAUUUUUUAUCUCAGGAGCACGGGGUCAACAUUAGCAAAGAGGAGGUCAACAUUUACUUCGCUAAUAAGGACAGAGAUAGAGAUGGGAGGAUAAGUUUUACUGAAUUCUGCGACAAAAAGA